UACGUAGGUGGCAAGCGUUGUCCGGAUUUACUGGGCGUAAAGAGCGCGCAGGCGGUCGUUCAAGUCGCGUGUGAAAGCCCCCGGCUCAACUGGGGAGGGUCACGCGAUACUGAUCGACUCGAAGGCAGGAGAGGGAAGUGGGAAUUCCCGGUGUAGUGGUGGAAAUGCGUAGAUAUCGGGAGGAACACCAGUGGCGAAGGCGACUUCCUGGCCUGUUCUUGACGCUGAGGCGCGAAAGCUAGGGGAGCAAACGGGG
rnacentral:rRNA from 1 species